rnacentral:rRNA from 1 species
GAUGAACGCUAGCGGCAGGCUUAAUACAUGCAAGUCGAGGGGUAGCAAGAUUGUAGCAAUGCAAUUGUUGACGACCGGCAAACGGGUGCGGAAUACGUACACAACCUUCCUACAAGUGGGGAAUAGCCCAGAGAAAUUUGGAUUAAUACCCCGUAACAUAGCGAUGUGGCAUCACAUUGCUAUUAUAGCUUCGGCGCUUGUUGAUGGGUGUGCGGCUGAUUAGAUAGUUGGCGGGGUAACGGCCCACCAAGUCUACGAUCAGUAGCUGAUGUGAGAGCAUGAUCAGCCACACGGGCACUGAGACACGGGCCCGACUCCUACGGGAGGCAGCAGUAAGGAAUAUUGGACAAUGGACGCAAGUCUGAUCCAGCCAUGCCGCGUGAAGGAUUAAGGUCCUCUGGAUUGUAAACUUCUUUUAUAAGGGACGAAAAAAGGUCUUUCUAGAUCGUCUGACGGUACCUUAUGAAUAAGCACCGGCUAACUCCGUGCCAGCCGCCGCGGUAACAC